AUGGAGUCCAUUGAAAGCACAGUUCAGAAAAAGCCUGGAGAAACUCUGACUCUGUCCUGUAGAGGAUCUGGGUUCAGCUUUGACUGCUGUGCUAUGCACUGGAUCAGACAACAAGCUGGAAAACCUCUUGUGUGGAUGGGUCUGGGCUACAGUGAUGGAAGUGGAUACAAGGCAGAAUCUGUUAAGGGGAGGCUUGAAAUCAGCGGAGAUGAUUCGAAAAGCAUGAUGAAUCUGAAACUGUCUGGACUGACAGAAGAGGACUCCGCUGUGUAUUUCUGUGCAAGAGAAUCACAGUGA